rnacentral:rRNA from 1 species
UACGUAGGGUGCAAGCGUUGUCCGGAAUUAUUGGGCGUAAAGAGCUCGUAGGCGGUUUGUCGCGUCUGGUGUGAAAAUCCAGGGCUUAACCCUGGACCUGCAUCGGGUACGGGCAGACUAGAGUGCGGUAGGGGAGAUCGGAAUUCCUGGUGUAGCGGUGAAAUGCGCAGAUAUCAGGAGGAACACCGGUGGCGAAGGCGGAUCUCUGGGCCGUAACUGACGCUGAGGAGCGAAAGCGUGGGGAGCGAACAGG